rnacentral:ncRNA from 1 species
CAAAAGCUUAGUCCUGGCUUUACUAACAACUUUAACCAAACUUACACAUGCAAGUAUCCGCGCCCCCGUGAAAAUGCCCACCACACCCCACCCGGGAGUCAGGAGCCGGUAUCAGGCACGCCUCGUCUGUAGCCCACGACACCUUGCUUAGCCACACCCCCAAGGGAACUCAGCAGUGAUUAACAUUAAGCCAUAAGUGAAAACUUGACUUAGUUAUGGUUAAACAGGGCCGGUAAAACUCGUGCCAGCCACCGCGGUUAUACGAGAGGCCCAAGUUGUUAGCCUCCGGCGUAAAGAGUGGUUAAAAUAUAAAACACCAAACUGAGGCCGAACGUCCUCACAGCAGUUUAAUGCUUCCGAGAACCUGAAGAACAACCACGAAAGUGGCCUCACCCUAUUUGAACCCACGAAAGCUAGGGAACAAACUGGGAUUAGAUACCCCACUAUGCCUAGCCCUAAACAACGAUGCCUUCACCCCUGUCCGCCUGGAUACUACGAGCAUUAGCUUAAAACCCAAAGGACUUGGCGGUGCUUUAAAACCACCUAGAGGAGCCUGUUCUAGAACCGAUAACCCCCGUUGAACCUCACCCCUUCUUGCCCAUCAGUCUAUAUACCGCCGUCGUCAGCCCGCCCUGUAAAGGGCUAACAGCAGGCAAAAUUGGCACAGCCCAAAACGUCAGGUCGAGGUAUAGCACAUGAAGGGGGAAGAAAUGGGCUACAUUCUCUGCCCAGAGAACUACGAAUGGCAUAAUGAAACAUGUGCCUGAAGGAGGAUUUAGCAGUAAGCAAGGAAAUAGAGUGUCUUGCUGAAGCCGGCCAUGAAGCACGCACACACCGCCCGUCACUCUCCCCAAGCCAACCAACCAACUAAUAACUAAUACACCCUAAGCAUAAAGGGGAGACAAGUCGUAACAUGGUAAGUGUACCGGAAGGUGCACUUGGAAAAAAUAU